UACGGGGGGGGCAAGCGUUGUUCGGAAUUACUGGGCGUAAAGGGCUCGUAGGCGGCCAACUAAGUCGGAUGUGAAAUCCCCAGGCUCAACCUGGGAACUGCAUCCGAUACUGGAUGGCUUGAAUCCGGGAGAGGGAUGCAGAAUUCCAGGUGUAGCGGUGAAAUGCGUAGAUAUCUGGAGGAAUACCGGUGGCGAAGGCGGCAUCCUGGACCGACAUUGACGCUGAGGAGCGAAAGCUAGGGGAGCAAACGGG
rnacentral:rRNA from 1 species